AUUGAACGCUGGCGGAAUGCUUUACACAUGCAAGUCGAACGGCAGCACGGGGCAACCUGGUGGCGAGUGGCGAACGGGUGAGUAAUACAUCGGAACGUGCCCAAUCGUGGGGGAUAACGUAGCGAAAGUUACGCUAAUACCGCAUACGAUCUACGGAUGAAAGCGGGGGAUCGCAAGACCUCGCGCGAAUGGAGCGGCCGAUGUCAGAUUAGGUAGUUGGUGGGGUAAAGGCUCACCAAGCCAACGAUCUGUAGCUGGUCUGAGAGGACGACCAGCCACACUGGAACUGAGACACGGUCCAGACUCCUACGGGAGGCAGCAGUGGGGAAUUUUGGACAAUGGGCGCAAGCCUGAUCCAGCCAUUCCGCGUGCAGGAUGAAGGCCUUCGGUUGUAACUGCUUUGUACGGUACGAACGGACGAGCUCUAUACAGUUGUCUAAUGACGGUACCGUAACGAAUAAGACCGGCUAACUACGUGCCAGCAGCCGCGGU
rnacentral:rRNA from 1 species